rnacentral:sRNA from 1 species
ACAGGUCACUGUUUAUAGACCGAACCCGGGUGAUCUAACCAUGUCCAGGAUGAAGCUUGGGUAACACCAAGUGGAGGUCCGAACCGACUUCUGUUGAAAAAGGAGCGGAUGAGGUGUGGUUAGGGGUGAAAUGCCAAUCGAACCUGGAGCUAGCUGGUCCUCCUCGAAAUGUGUUUAGGCGCAGCGGCAUUGAUUAUAGCCGGGGGGUAAAGCACUGAUUCUGCGGGCUGCGAGAGCGGUACCAAAUCGAGUCAAACUCAGAAUACCCGGUGCACACAAUGCCAGUAAGACGGUGGGGGAUAAGCUUCAUCGUCAAGAGGGAAACAGCCCAGACCACCAGCUAAGGCCCCCAAGUGAAUACUAAGUGGCAAAGGAGGUGGGAAUGCAGAGACAACCAGGAGGUUUGCCUAGAAGCAGCCAUCCUUAAAAAAAGUGCGU